AUCUUUAGUAUUAGGAUAUUAUUAACAUGUUCUCUCCGACUUUCGACAUACAGUAUCAUCCACGUUGUGUUCAGGUCAAUUAGUUGUGUGCUUGAGACUACAUAAUUUUAUUAAUAUCUUGCUCACUUGAAACAAGAAAAGCUAGAGAUCUUAGUGUUUAUUAUUUGACUCGAAACUAUAGAAAUGCCAUAUUCUAUCCGUCUUGUAUUGUUUUUUUGGGAAUUGAAGUAUGCUCUGACGUAGGAUUUUUUUGUUAGCAAUUAGCAUAGUCCCGGUCGUAAAUUAUUACAGUGAUGUUUUUGUUUCUUUGCCUAUUUCCAGUUGACAUGUAAUAUUUUGUGUUCAUUGCCUUGUUCAAAAUGCAUUUGCUCAUGUUAUAACUGAUAAAAUUGUUUAUAAAUUCAGAUCCUUAGUGCGAUAUUUUGUCAUGAUUUAGAACUAGGCAGAUAUAUAUUAUUUCACAGAUGGACGAACGGCUCAGAAAUGACAUGUGAGUCCUAUCACAGCCUGCAGUCUAACACUGACGGCAGGAAGCCCAAUGACAUCCUCUUCUUCUCCCCUGGUUGUUGGAGGAUGGCUCACAACAGCAUGGAGCAUUUAGCGCAGGCGAUAUUCUUUCUGUUUCUUCUGUUUUCUUCUUUGGUUCUUUCUUCUUUCACUUUAUGGAUUUCAAUCGUUAGUUUGCACAUGGUGAGAUACCUAUUUUCUUGAAUUUUUCUGGGUUGUUUUGUGGUGCAUGCUAUAAUUACUACUACUUUUAGGUUCUGAUUUUCUUGCAGCGCUGAUGAGAUGGCACACAUCUAGGAGGAUGCUAAGCAAUGUGGUGAGGAACGGUGGUUGACUGGUUGCUCAGCAUUGGUAGUAGUGUGCCCUCGAAGUUCGACAGCGGGUGUCACUGAUGUGGUAAUGAAGAGUGGAUAGGGAAGAGAAGAGGGCGGCUAUGAGCUCAUGUUUUUUAAUCUUCAUCUAAGAUGAAAUCAUUGUUCUAUUGGGAAAGGAUUAUUUCUACUUCACUGGUUAGGGUCAAGCCAUCUUCGAAGAUGGCUCCAAGGUCAUACGAGCUCCAUUCGGGCCGCUGCUGAGCAGCUGAGACCUCUUCAUUGUGGGCCCGGUGGUUGGCCAGGCUUCGCCUUCUCCAUCCUUGCUUGACGACCUCGUCCUGAGCACAGCGGAGAACAGGUCGCCGGGAUGGAUAUUGCAGCGGCUCGUCGUCUUCUCCCGCAGCUAGCCUUGUCCCUUUGCCUCCCCCUUUGGUUUGAUUAACUAAACGAUAGGUGCACCUACACUUGAUCUCAGGUCUCGCUCUCAGUUUACCUCUAGCAGGCUCAAAUAUUUUUUUCUCUGUUCUUCUUUCCUAACGAACUUGCUAUUUCAGUUCGCACAGGUUUAUUGGACACGAACCCAUACUUUCUAAUCUGAAUAAGGUGGUAGAGCUUGUUUUGCAGCCAAAUAUUUAUUUCUGCAUAAAUUUUGUUUAGGUCAUUGCAGUUGUUCAUGGUCUACGAAGCAAGAUUUUUUUCAUUGUGCAAUGACUGUUCUGAUUCAGCCCAACAAUUCAACCAUGUGAUCUUGGUUUACAGUGUUAAGAAUUAUUCAGCAUGCUCUAAAUUUUGGCGCGCUUCAUCAUUUUGAAUUAUUUACUGAAAAUGAGCAAAUGAGUCUGUGCACAAAACAAAAUACUAAUGUGUAUUCAUGGUAGCUUUGCAGGACAAUCCUAGGGGAAGAGAUCCUGAAGAUCCAUGUCAAUCCGGGAUGGAAGAAGGGCAUGAAGAUGAACGAGCAUCGACACACAAUCACUGCGGACCUGGUGUUCAGUGUUCACACAGGAUGGCAAUGGAAUGGUGGUGAUAUAAGAGGUGCUCCUCACAUGCCCUAUUAGUACACACUAUAGACAUUGGACAUGUGCAACCUGACGGUACCUGAUGCCUAUCGGAUAAUUAUUCACUCUUUACUUAAUGCUAAUUAUCAUCGAUGUUUCCAAUUGUAGUAUAUAAAAUAAACAUUGACACAAA